UACGUAGGGUGCAAGCGUUGUCCGGAAUUAUUGGGCGUAAAGAGCUCGUAGGCGGUCUGUCGCGUCGGCUGUGAAAUCCCGAGGCUCAACCUCGGGUCUGCAGUCGAUACGGGCAAACUGAGUAUUGCAGGGGAGACUGGAAUUCCUGGUGUAGCGGUGAAAUGCGCAGAUAUCAGGAGGAACACCGGUGGCGAAGGCGGGGUCUCUGGGACAAUGACUCUGAGGAACGAAAGCGUGGGGAGCAAACAGG
rnacentral:rRNA from 1 species